GUAGCCAUCAAUCUUGGCGAGGAGCUGAUGGGAGGCUGCUCCCUCGCAGAUCGGGCUUGCUCAGACUGAGACUGUCUCCUCACUUUGACAGACCGCUGGCAUGACACGCCAAACAAUCACAGCGCUACAUUUCCCCAACAAAUCCUCCGAGGUGUUUUUGUUUCAAUUUUCCACUUGGUCUGAUUUUUAUUCUCCGAUGUAUCGGUUCUAUUUUACUCUUUUUUUUCUUUUCUUUUUAAUUAAGAGAGAAGGAACCGGGUGCUGUACGAUAGGAAUGCGGGCAGGGAGGGGGCAGAGAGGGCAUGUUUUGGUGAGGUUCAAAGAUGAAAUGAGCGAGUCUCUGAGGCUUUGAUGUUUCUUGGCAGGCCCGAGACAGUCACUGACAAUCCGAUGAUCUGGGAGAACAACCUUUUUUGAAUCUCUGGCCCAUCCUGGCCCCAGUCGUCUAGCCCUCCAGUGACAAAAGCUUUAAUAUGACAAGGUUAAACACCUGAAGCACUGCGGCACAAUGGUCAGGACAAAGCUGGGGUCAGGGGUGCAACCUAAAUGCCAGGCACCUUAGAAGUUUACCAUGACUGUUCACUCAUUCAUGGAUGUUUUACACAGCAGUUCUCCUCUUUGUUCUUAAAUGGAUUCUUGAGCUGUGCACCUUCCCAGACGGCCCCUCCUGCUGCCCAGGCCACCGAGGCUUGUCGUCCCCAUCACCUCUGGCAUUUCAAACUGACGCUUGCCUCGCACACUGUUGCCCUGCAGACCACAAAAGCUGGUUCACGUUACCCAGAGGGACAGAGGGCCUGCGGUAGAUGUUCUUUGAUAGACUGCAGCAACGCAAAGUCAGAUUCCAUCUUCAGAUGUCUCCUUAGAGGUCGUUAAAAACAGACAGUUAACACACCCAGCAGCCCUACCAGCUCCCGAUGCCACUCCCCCAGCUGUUUUUGACCUCAGAUGAACUCAUGUGCCAUCCCGGCCACCAGGCCUGGCAGGAUUCUCACACUGGGAGCGAGACAACUGUCUCCCUCCCAGCCACUCCUCCAGCCACUGCCACCUUCUUGUCGCCCCACUGAUCCAUGCCAGCUUCCAGCUUUUGUUUUUCUACCCGCCCUCCCUUGGUACUGGGGGCAAGAUUUACAGUGGAAAAAUAUAGGACGUUUUCCCCCCAUGUUGAGCUGUUGAGUCUGGAAUGUGUGUUUGGGCAAGAUUUUGCAAGGAGUGUGAAAAAACAACAGCACUGUAAACACCGAGGGUAGAACCAGACUGGCUUCUUUGUUCCAGAUGUGCAGCAGGCACACACACACACAAACACACACACACACUAUUAGUGCAGCUCCUGCAGCCAAACAUGGGUCUGUAACCCAAUACACUGCCACUACUGUCCCACUGCUCGUCCAUCAGCUGGGCGCUCACUGCAUCCAUAUAGACAGGUUACUGUGCGAGUCGGCAGCACUUUGAAUGAGGGCAAACUGUGUGUGUGUGUGUGUGUGUGUGUGUGUAGAGUCAGAAUUGGUACCAAAUGCGGAUUUUGAGCCGCAACCAGACGACUGAGGAAGUUUAAAAAAAAAUAAAAAAUCAACAAUGUAUAAUUUAGACAUAUGACCGUAAAUGAAGCCAUUCAAAUCAGACGGGCCGCGUGACACCGG
ensembl:lncRNA